AAGUCGUAACAAGGUUUCCGUAGGUGAACCUGCGGAAGGAUCAUUAACACGUGUUUUAAACUCACGUAUUAACCAAAAGCGAAUUUGUUGUUAAGCCUGUUAUUGUUGUAGAACGGGUCCGUUGGGGAAUGGGUGUGACUUGCGGUGCUUCGCGCAUAGGGGUCUAACUAACGGAAUGGGCGUGCUCACACGCGGUUCUACUUCAGUAUACAGUAGAUGCAAUUUCGGCUGUGGAGCCUGCACCAUGGCUUGCAGUCCGGGGUGAAUAUUACCUACUAAAUUUAUACUUAUUCUGACUUUGUACGUCUAUGCAAAUUCCUGACUUAACUGUUGGUUGCAGUUUGUAUCGAUGUCGUAUAAUAACUAAUACGAAACAACUCUUAGCAACGGAUAUCUUGGUUCUC
rnacentral:misc_RNA from 1 species